UCUUCCCUGAUGCCUCUCACCUCUUCGACGCGGCAAUCCCGCCGCUCACCUCUCUGACGCCACAAUCUCGAGUUCGCCGGCAUUGAUCUGCUCAUUGUUGGCCGAACUUUCCAUCUCCACGGAUCGUCGGACGUUUGCCGCGGUUGUCCUUCUCUCCGAGUCGCUGCCCCGUGCCUAGCCAUCCUCACCACCCGAUCUCCUUCGCCCUCUCCUUUCUUUCGGCAUUGUCGCAGACCACCAUGUGCCGACGCUUGGUCGCCACUCCCGAAUGUUGUCGAUCUCCACGGCUAAUAGCACCGAUCGUGGCCACGAUGGGGAGGAAUCCAGCUCUCUCCUGAUCCCUCUUUCUCUCGAUCCAGCAGCACCGCAUAUUCAUUGGACGUCGCCGAUCGAGCUCUCUGUUCCCGAUCCCCACUGUUGUGCCCUAGUGCAGUUGUCGAUCUCCUCUGCCUUGGACCGACAUCAAGUUGGUCAGAAAGGAAGUUGCGGGUCUGGGUUUGUGGGGUAACCGGUGGUUGCAUUUCCAUUUGAUAGUGGCGCUUCUUGGUCCUAGCAGCUACUCCUUGCAGCAGUAACCAUACCUGGUUGAGGAUCUAACAGAGAGUAGCUGUGAGAUUGAGGACUUUGAAUUAAGACAAAAGUACGUGGGAUUGUUUAGCACGAUCGACAGAUAAAGGAGGGUACUUCUUGCUUUAUCUCUUUAGUACAUUGUUCUUAGUGCAUGAGCUAUACCUUCGGAUAGUUCCUGUAUUUAUCUUAACUCCACUCGUAUUUUUCCUGCGUUUGAUACUUUCACUCAAUCUUUGAGCUACUCAUUUCUGUAUCUAUACAGUCUCUCGUUACUAUUUAUGAUAUUUAGCAGAUACUAGUUAUCAGAUACUAGAUAUUGGAUACCAGAUACUAGACACCAUGUUUACCUAUUUUGACUAUUGUGUAUUUAUGUUUUGUAUUGAGCAUGCGGCUUCAUGUAGCAUACCUGAUUUCUGUUAUAUAUAUAGAUGAUGAAUGUUGCAUCUUGCGCAUCAUGUCAUUACAUGCAUACUAACGACCAUUGUCUCUCUUAUGGUGUGAGAGAGUCGUCAGUCAGGGCCGCACGCUCGGUCACUCAUGGGUAGUGGUAGUUGGAGCGUGCCGCUUGUCCUGUCUUCCCCACCCCCCCCCCACACACUCGCACACU